rnacentral:tRNA from 1 species
GGGGGAUUAGCUCAGUUGGGAGAGCGUCUGCUUUGCACGCAGAAGGUCAACGGUUCGAAUCCGUUAUCCUCCACCA